ensembl:lncRNA
GCCACUGUCAGGAUGCUUGGUGUCGAGGUCUUACGUAACCUUCCCUCUCAGCAACCUAACCCCUGCCAGCACAGACUGUUCCCUUUCUGAGCACCAAAGCCCUGGGCCUGCUUGCAGAGAGUAAUUGCAAGGUAGAUUAUAAUUGUUGAUAAUAAACACAGUACAUUGGGUACAAACUGGGCUAGGAAAGAGGGUCAUAAAAAGAAAUCUGUGAUGAUAGGGGUUUGUAAGUUUAAUGACUAUUCUAACAAGAUAAAGCUUUUAUUAAUUACAAAUGAAUCUCAUCCUCUUUCUCUUUCUCUGUCUCAUAUUAAAAAACUUUACUUGGCAUAGGUUCUUCGUUUUAGAAGAAGCGUGUGUGUGUGUGUGUGUGUGUGUGUCUGUGUGUCUGUGUCUGUGUGUGUGUGUGUAUUUUGAAGGCAACAUCAACAGCUUGGAAGUGGUCCAGAGAAAAGUAAAUGCUGUUAUCAGUAGGUUGGAAAAUCAAGCCUGUAACAGAAGGUUAAAGGAGCUGGUUGCAUUUAGUCUGGAGUAGAGAUGAUGUAAUAAUUAUUAAAAAUCUGUUAUUAAGGAGGACAUUGAUUAACAUUCUCCUCAUAGAAGACAUAAAUAAAAGGAAUUGUUUAAACUCCACUACUGUACAGCACAGGGAACUAUAGCUAGUCCCUUGGGUUAGACCAUGAUGGAAGAUCAUAUGAGAAAGAGAAUGUGCAUAUAGAUGUGUGUUGUGUGUGUGCAUACAUGUAUAUAUGACUGGGUCACUUUGCACAACCUUGUAAAUCAAGUAUACUUUAAUAAAAUUUUAAAAAAUAAAAAAACAGACUUGAAAAGAAGAGAGGGAUUUAUAUUAAAUAUUGGGAAGCAUUUCUUGAAAGUGAGCAUCAUUAAAGAAAAGAAUGUCACCAACUAUAACCAGUUGUUGAGGAAGGCGAGGGAAUCUGUGUCUCAGGAUAUUAGUGUAAUGGGCAUAGGACAGGCUCUGAACCCAGAUCUGCUUUUGAGUCUUAGUUCUGGCUUCAGUUAACAUGAAAAAAUUCUCUUUAAAAUUCUUCCACUCUGUAGGAUUUUCGGGGGAUUAUGGAACAUAGUAUUUGGACAAGCAUUUAGGUGAUAAGGUGCUAAAUAAACAUGAUUCUCCCCCUCCCCUUAACUUCCAAACUAUUAUUGGUUUGAGAUUUUACAGCAUAAGGUUUAGGCAAUAUAUUCUUGUCAGUACUGACGGCUUUUCUUUGUUUUGCAAAGGAUUUUGCUUUUAUAGAAAAGUGGGUCCUAGCAUUUUGUGGCAGGUGAUUAUUGUUAUUGGGUUUUACAAAGCCCUAACUGGUGUGUGUGUGUGUGUGUGUGUGUGUGUGUGUGUGUGUGUGUGUAUUCAUACCAACUCCACUAACAAAACAGUGUAAGAAGGUAUUUCAAGAUCAAGGUCAAGAAAAAUAAAGUGUUAUAAGUCACAGAAAGAAAUCACUGGUCUCAUGCUGUAUGCUGAGGUACAGUAUUAAUUUCCCUUUUUUUUUUUUUUUUUUUUUUUUAAAGGGCUGCAGCCACGGCAUAUGGAAGUUUCCAGGCUAAGGGUCGAAUCUGAAUUGCAACUGCUGGCCUACACCAGAGCCACAGCAACGUGGCAUCUGAGCCACGUCUGCGACCUACACCACAGCUCAUGGCAACGCGGAAUCCUUAACCCACUGAGCGAGGCCAGGGAUCAAACCUGCAACCUCAUGGAUCCUAGUCAGAUUCGUUUCCAUUGUGCCAUGACGGGGACUCCCUAAUUUCCCCUGUUUCGCUGUAACUGGAUCUGUUCACAUGACUGGGUUUAUUGUAACUUUAUCAACUCUUUGGGGGAAAUCUCCAUAGAGCAGGAAUACUGCUCUGAGCCCAAACCACCAUCAUUGGCUCCCUCUCAUUGGUGCCUAGUUUGUUUAGGGGGGUGCGUGUGUUCUGAAGCUGCUGUGCCCGCCUUGGCUGUAACCUCAAGGUCCUAAUCAAAUGGAACAGCUUGUGCUUUUCUUUCACCUAAUGGUUUUUAAGCAUGCGCAGGUGUUAAACUAGUGUUGGUUUUCUGGGACAGGUAGCAGUUACAGCAUCACAACCCAAACAACCUAGAAUAGAACUGAGACCUUCCUUUUCCUAAUGUUCCUCAGCCCCUCCAUCAAGAGGAAUUUUUUUACAAGUCACCCUUGUUCAGGCUCAUGCCACUCCAAGUCUCUCUACGCUUCAAAUUCAGUUUCUCUCCCUUUUUAUGCAGACUCGUCUAGCACAACCCACUCGUGGGCUCCACGCCUGCAUCUGUCUAAGGAUUCAUUGCUACCUUGCCAGGCGAAAGGGCCAUGCAUUCUCUACCAGUAUAGCAGAGCCGUCGGCGGUGGCUUUGGAAUUAUAGCCUUCUCUCUCCCUUCUCUGUCCCAUCUCCUCCCCUCUGCCCAGAUUCUGAAAGUGCAGAAGAUUAGUGGAGAAUACAUCAUUUUUCCUCCGCAAUAGGAAUUUUGACUUUCUUGUUAGACAGCAGAAGUAGCUGCCAUUAGUUUGAAUUUUAAAUAUAUUUAGUCUUUGGGCAAAACGAGUAGCAAAGCAUUAUUAUUAUUAUUAUUAUUAGCAUUAUAAUUAAGACACAUAAUAGGAACCACAGGAUACCAAAAGAGGUGUAUAACCUCCUUUCUUUCUGAUAAAUGAACAUUAGUAUGGAAUUAAACCAGUAGCACUCUGACAUUAACCAUAGGAGGUGGUGGCAGGUCUGGGGCUGUGUUUACUUUUGAGGACAAAUCCUUGAAUAAGGCAAUGAUUGAGCAUCAAGUCUCAUUUUUCGCUCAUCGGUGGUGCUCGGUGGAGCAUGCAGUGAGCUGGAGACAUACAGUGCUCAGGCAGACACAAGCAGAGAGAAUUCAGACCAAAUGAGACUAUGAUAAUUGACGUGCCGUCACACCACCCGAGUAACCCAAAGGUGUGUCUGAAGAAUGGGUGUGCUGAAUGUGGAUGGACCUGGAAGGCAUUGUGCUCAGUGAAAUAAGCCAGAGAAAGACAAAUACUUUAUGAUAUCACUUAUAUGUCAAUCUGAAAAAUAGAACUAGUGAAUAUAGGAGUUCCUGUUGUGGCUCAUCGGGUUAAGGACUGGGCGUUGUCUCUGUAAGGAUGUGGGUUCAAUCCCUGGCCUCUCGUAGUGGGUUAAGGAUCUGGCGUUGUCACAAGCUGCCAUGUAGGUCGCAGAUGUGGCUUGGAUCUGGUGUUGGCUGUGGCUCUGCUGUAGUCUGGCAGCUGCAGCUCCAAUUCAAACUCUAGCUUGGGAACUUCCGUAUGCUGCAGGUGUAGCUGUAAAAAAAAAAAAAA